rnacentral:rRNA from 1 species
CUACGGGACGCAGCAGUGGGGAAUAUUGGACAAUGGGGGAAACCCUGAUCCAGCAAUGCCGCGUGUGUGAAGAAGGCCUGCGGGUUGUAAAGCACUUUCGGUUGGGAGGACUGCUUCUAGCACUAAUAUUGUUGGAAGUUGACGUUACCUUCAGAAGAAGCACCGGCUAACUCCGUGCCAGCAGCCGCGGUAAUACGGAGGGUGCAAGCGGUAAUCGGAAUUACUGGGCGUAAAGCGCGCGUAGGCGGCUAGAUCAGUCGGGUGUGAAAGCCCCGGACUUAACCGGGGAACGGCAUCCGAUACUGUCUAGCUUGAGUACAGGAGAGGAGAGUGGAAUUCCACAUGUAGCGGUGAAAUGCGUAGAUAUGUGGAGGAACACCAAUGGCGAAGGCAGCUCUCUGGCCUGAUACUGACGCUGAGGUGCGAAAGCGUGGGGAGCAAACAGGAUUAGAUACCCUCGUAGUC